rnacentral:rRNA from 1 species
GACAGAGGAUGCAAGCGUUAUCCGGAAUGAUUGGGCGUAAAGCGUCUGUAGGUGGCUUUUUAAGUCUGCCGUCAAAUCCCAGGGCUUAACCUUGGACAGGCGGUGGAAACUACCAAGCUGGAGUACGGUAGGGGCAGAGGGAAUUUCCGGUGGAGCGGUGAAAUGCGUAGAGAUCAGGAAGAACACCGGUGGCGAAAGCGCUCUGCUGGACCUUAACUGACACUGAGGGACGAAAGCUAGGGGAGCGAAUGGG